UUUGAGUAUGAACUCUCACCUUCUAGCAAUUACAUGAAUACCAUGAAUUUAUGGCAUGAGUACAAUUAAAAGAGGUGAGUACUAAAUAACACCUGAAAAUAAUCAUGAGAUCAUCUUCAUGUUAUCACUAUAAAAGUAGUUUUUAUCACUAUCAAAUGCUUUUUUUAAACCAAAAUCAUAAUAAAUAAGAUUAUUGAUUAUUUACCUUUCCUCCUAUUAUAAAAUGAAGCUCCAAACAAUCUAUCAUUUGCCCUCUGUGAGGAACCAGAGAACUCUUCUAGGAUAUCCAAUUUUCUAGUUUUUUCAAUCCCACUUAGGGAAAAAUGAUGUAUCAGAUGCAUCAUGUGUGUCUAUGUCCAUGUUCUGCCUUUCACCAUGUUGCAAAGUAUCCCUUACAUCCAUACUCUCACCUUUACCCUUAUACUCUAAAGUGUUUGCAACUGCCUUUCACCAUGUUGCAAAGUAUCCCUUACAUCCAUACUCUCAC
rnacentral:lncRNA from 1 species